rnacentral:rRNA from 1 species
AGGGUUGUAAAACUCUUUCAGUAGGGAAGAUAAUGACGGUACCUACAGAAGAAGUCCCGGCAAACUCCGUGCCAGCAGCCGCGGUAAUACGGAGGGGGCAAGCGUUGUUCGGAAUUAUUGGGCGUAAAGGGCAAGUAGGCGGUUUGGUAAGUUAAAGGUGAAAUACCAGGGCUUAACCCUGGGGCUGCUUUUAAUACUGCAGGACUAGAGUCCGGAAGAGGAUAGCGGAAUUCCUAGUGUAGAGGUGAAAUUCGUA